CAAGGUAAUAGAUCCUUAAAUAAUAAAGUGAAAGGGGAGAUAGGAAAGUUGGGUGGGAACAAAACUAGCUCAGUGUGUUAGAGAGAUUAUUGUUUGAGUUCCCAGUAUUUAACGGCUGGGUUCGCAGUGGGGCAACUGAAUUCAGCAGCAGUGUUGUUCUGGCCAGUUAUUCGGUGGGAAUGUCGACCUGAGCAACAACACCGUGAAAAAGCCAGAGGGCCUGUAGAAGCAGCCGGAAUCAACGGAGCACAGACAAUUCAGAUUCUUCAUCCAGGGACUGCUGCCGCACUGAAGCCAAGACUCACUAACAGCCACUGCUAGGAAGGUGACAACACCUCACGAUAAACUCUUGACAAUCAUAUAACUCUGCUGGCAGUCGGCUUAGGAGAUCAGAGAAAUGGAAUAGGAACUUUCGUGGUAUCCCUUGUAGGAGAAAAGAUUAAAGUGUAGCACAGAACAGAGCUCCUUUUGUGGCAAGGCCAAAGAACGUCAAUGCAACAACCAAACACCAUAUGCCAGGAAACCUGAACAUUCUGUUAGGCACAAACCCCGUUGGAGGACAAAUUCACCUCAAACAGGAAGAUUGCCAAAUCAUGGGGCGAAUGCCACUGGCUUCAGCAGAGUAAAUCCUGCUGGUAAGGCUGGUAAGGCUAAUCCCGUAAAUCACAUAUUCACUAAAGAAUGGGAAUGCCUUAACAAAAUCAGUGAUUUCCAACCUUUGCAAACCAGGUAUGCAGACAGAGCCUGA
rnacentral:lncRNA from 1 species